rnacentral:tRNA from 1 species
GCCGGUGUAGCUCAGUUGGUAGAGCAACGCACUCGUAAUGCGUAGGCCGGUGGUUCGAGUCCACUCACCGGCA